rnacentral:rRNA from 1 species
CUCUUUUACCAGUGAGGACACCACCCUGAACGCGCCUGAUCUCGUCUGAUCUCGGAAGCUAAGCAGGGUCGGGCCUGGUUAGUGCUUGGAUGGGAGAUACCAGUGAGGACACUGAGUGUGAAAGAUG